CGCUGAGCUCACAUGCGGAGGAAGUUUACUGCCGUCACAUAACCCGCAUUCCAGAGACCCGAACCUGUCAGAACACGAAAAGAAGCCGAGAAAAGCCGAGUGUCGGUGUGUAAAUGUGUCCUUCAAGAACAGUGUGUAAAGUGCAAACCAAAGUAUCUGAUGUCUCUUCAAAUCUUUAAGAUGUAUUUUCCGGGUCACCAACCCACUCCUGGAACUGGUUACCAAGUGGAGGUGGUUCAAGGAGCCAUUGAGGAUCAGCAGGAUGAUGCCAUCGUAUGUCCUAUGAUUGGCCAUGAUCUCUCUCUAUUCGCAUUGGAAAGACUUUGAGCAAUAUAAUCGGAGAACAGCUGGAAGAAAAGUUUAACAAGGAAACAGGAAAGGCAACUCUGCCAAGUGAAACAGUUGUAGUUGAGGGCCUACCUGGCCUUAAAUGUAAAGCAGUCGUCUUCCUCAACCUACUCUGCUGGGAUAAUAACGAACAUGGAACUGCAGUCCAGGCGCUACGACAGGGAAUCAAACGGAUUCUGGCUACCUGUGAAAUCAGAUGCUACCGUUCAGUAGCUCUGCCGGUUCUUGGGACUGGCGCUCUCUUACGCUUUCCACACAAAACUGCUUCCACAAUCCUUCUGGAGGAGAUUGGUGUAUAUGGACAAAACCGGACCAAGAAGUCACCCUUCCUAGUUCGAAUCAUUAUUUACCCAAAGGACAAAGAAUCGAGCCAGGCUUUUAAGUGCUCCCAGGGUGUGUUGCUUGAAAACGGAUACAUAAGCCAUGUUGAUUUAGCUGAAGGUUCCUUUUACCAGUGUGUGUCUGUCACUGAUGACGAGGUCACAGCCAUGAUCGGCAAAGUCAAACUUCAG